rnacentral:lncRNA from 1 species
GGAAAUGUUUCCAAGGCUACUGAUCUGGUGAGAAUCUCAUGUGGGUAUGUGAUCACACAAUUGGACAUUCUUUCAUGGAAUGAAUAAACUACUGCCAAAAAAAGGAAUCUGGGGAAACACGGAUGAGUGCGUGUACUCUCUGGUUAUUUCUUAUUGUUUCUGUUCAACUGCAUGUGAAUCUAAAAUCAUCCUGAAAAAAAAGUUUAAAAAAAGAGAAUCUUAGAACUGCAUUAACUACUAUACUAACUUAUGAUCAUCUAUAAAUAGAAGGUCAGAGACAAGAACUGUGAAUAAUAGAGGGCGAGCCAUCACCAAGUGUGUCAUGGUUCCAUUAAUGAAAUUGUAGAGGAUGAAAGCAGGUGGAUAAUUUGUGGAUGACUUCUGAAGUUUGUCAACACUUCUAGAGACAACAUCAAGAGGGCAGUUGUUUUUUGACAGAGAGGUGGACCCUUGCGAAUUUAGAACGAUCUGGACGUAAAGCCUUAUGCUUUCAACCCAGGAGAUGCUGAAAGCUGUAAUUUAGUGAGAAGAUUCAAGUCAGUCACUGUCACCUGUGUUCAGUCCCCUCAAUUACUGGCCUUGCUUUUAUGCAUUCAUUGCUAUUUUGUGGAUUCUCAAUAGGCACAAAUUGUGCAUUCUUUCACGUGUUAUUUGCGUUAAAAAACAAAGAGAAGUAUCUAAGCAUAGGCCAUGUUAGUUGUGUGCAAGCUGUAUGGGCACAGAAGGUCAGUGUGACAGAGUCGCUACUGUAAAGGGCUCUUGAAAGGAGAGAUGGAGAAACAAAUUGACAAGCACUGCAUGGUGCGAGGUUACUUCAGGAGAAGCACUUUCAGAGAAACAUAUGUCCUAUUCUCUUCCACAUUGGAGGAAUCAAGACCAAAAGAGGAAGGUUGUGGAGUCAUGUCACGUCUGAGGUACACAACAAGAUCCUGGAAUUUGAGGCUGAAUUCCAAAGAACAGUGUGGCUGUAAGACCCUUAUUAAGACCUCUUGACGUGCUAAGGGGUAUCCAGAACCUGUUUGCUGAUCAUGGUUAUGGGUGAUGAGAACUCACGAAAAGGUAUUAAGUUCUAAGAGUAUUAGAAGGCAUCACCCUCUCCUUUAGUGAGAGAAUCUACGCACCUCGUGAAGUUACAUAAGAUGAUGGAAUAAGCCGUAAU